rnacentral:rRNA from 1 species
AACGAACGCUGGCGGCAGGCUUAACACAUGCAAGUCGAACGAUAUAGUGGCAGACGGGUGAGUAACGCGUGGGAACGUGCCUUUCAGUACGGAAUAGCUCCUGGAAACGGGUGGUAAUACCGUAUACGCCCCUUGGGGGAAAGAUUUAUCGCUGAAAGAUCGGCCCGCGUUAGAUUAGCUAGUUGGUGGGGUAAUGGCCUACCAAGGCGACGAUCUAUAGCUGGUCUGAGAGGAUGAUCAGCCACACUGGGACUGAGACACGGCCCAGACUCCUACGGGAGGCAGCAGUGGGGAAUCUUGCACAAUGGGCGAAAGCCUGAUGCAGCCAUGCCGCGUGAAUGAUGAAGGCCUUAGGGUUGUAAAAUUCUUUCAACGGUGACGAUAAUGACGGUAACCGUAGAAGAAGCCCCGGCUAACUUCG